rnacentral:rRNA from 1 species
AUGGCUGGAGGGAAAGAAUGGAUUCUCGAUAGUGGAUGUACUGAUCAUAUGACCGGAGAUAAGGACAUAUUCCAUGAGCUUGCUAAGAACGACGGCCCAUGCAAGUACGUAACUUUUAGAGAUAACUCCAAGGGUAAGGUACUUGGCCUUCAUAAGGUGGCAAUUUCCAAUGAUAGCUCUAUCCAAAAUUUUAUGCUCGUUGAAUCUCUUGGCUACAAUCUCCUUUCCGUAUCUAUACUAGCCGACUUUGGUUUCAAUGUUCUAUUUACUGAAGUAGAUUUCCAUGUGUUUCAUAGAGAUAAUCAUAAUAUGGCGUUUACCGUUAUUCGUAGAGGUGAUUUAUAUAUUGUUGAUUUCACUAAGAGAGCCCAACCUCGUACUUGCUUAAUUGUUAAAUCUUCUAAAGGUUGGUUAUGGCAUAGAAGGUUAGGUCAUGUGGGCAUGCGAAAUCUUGAUAAGCUUAUUAAAGGUGAUCAUAUCCUUGGUGUUAAAGAUGUCAUAUUUGACAAGUAUAGACUUUGUAGUGCUUGUCAAGCAGGAAAACAGGUUGGAGGAAGUCAUCCCGUGAAGAACAUCAUGACCAUGAGAAGACCGCUUGAGCUACUUCAUAUGGAUCUUUUUGGUCCCAACGCCUACAAGAGUCUCGGUGGUAACUCGUUCGGUUCGGUCAUUGUUGACGACUUUUCAAGAUUUACAUGGGCAUUCUUUCUUGAUGACAAAUCGCAGGUCCAAAAGAUCUUCAAGAACUUUGCUAAGAAGGCCCAGAACCAAAUUUGA